ACGCACGCUGGCGGCGUGCUUAACCCAUGCAAGUCGAGCGGAAAGGCCCUUCGGGGUACUCGAGCGGCGAACGGGUGAGUAACACGUGAGUAACCUGCCCCAGACUUUGGGAUAACCCUCGGAAACGGGGGCUAAUACCGGAUACGACACAGCUUCGCAUGGGGUCUGUGUGGAAAGUUUUUCGGUUUGGGAUGGGCUCGCGGCCUAUCAGCUUGUUGGUGGGGUGAUGGCCUACCAAGGCGACGACGGGUAGCCGGCCUGAGAGGGCGACCGGCCACACUGGGACUGAGACACGGCCCAGACUCCUACGGGAGGUAGCAGUGGGGAAUAUUGCACAAUGGGCGGAAGCCUGAUGCAGCGACGCCGCGUGAGGGAUGACGGCCUUCGGGUUGUAAACCUCUUUCAGCAGGGACGAAGCGUAAGUGACGGUACCUGCAGAAGAAGCGCCGGCCAACUACGUG
rnacentral:rRNA from 1 species